GGAGGAAUUCCUUGCAUUCCAAAAAUCUCAAUCUCUGUUGAAUCUCUAUCAGGCUUAGCAUUGGGGACCUUAGUGAUGGUCUCCUUGUGAACUUGGAGAACAUGUAUCGCCAUCCCGCUGGCGGUGGAGAGCUUCUUGUGGCAGGCGUGGCACUUGAAGUGCUUCGCCUUCUGGUGCUGCACAAGGAUUUUCUCGUCGUCGAACUCCCGGU
rnacentral:misc_RNA from 1 species